GACUCGGGGGCGGGCAGGGGGACACGGGACCGAGUGAGCCCGUGCGCGGGCCAAGAGCCUCGCGGCCGCUGCCAAAGAAAAAAGGUUCCUGGGCUGUUCCCACCCUCCUCCGGGCACCACGUGGUCCUGUUCAAACCCGCCGGAAGCCUCCGAGUCAGAAAGUGGCCAAGCAGGGCUAUGAACUCCGGUCUCACUGCGCUGUUCGUCUACACGGCUGGCCUCUGGGUGGGCCUCCCCAGGGCCCUGGAUGAAUUUUCAACAGCCAAGACCCACUGGGAUCUCCCCAAGCCAGCAUCCACCUCACCCGUGCCCUCGAGCCCCAUGGUCUGUGGACACCAACCGGGUGGAGGCACUGCCAGGGCAUCUGUGAGGUGCAGGUUGGCAUGCAAACUCAACUUGGAGCCUGGGGUGCGCUGUGUCCUGCACAGGGAGAGCUGUCCAGGCUGGAAGGUUUCUGGUACCUUCCUAAGAAACACUCAACACAGCACAGAGGGAAACCAAGGCCCCAGAGGAAAAGGGGUGCGUCCAGAGUGACUCGAAAAGCCAGCGAUGGAGACGAGGCUACUCCGAGGGCAGGGCUCUUUCAUCGCCUCUGUCACCUCCUCUGUCUUUUCUGGGGCACCGUGAGAGCCAGCAGAGCGCAGAGGGGGCCCCGGGAAGCAGCCCUGAAUGAAGAAACUAGGAGGCAGGAUGGAGCGGGGCACGGUCUGGGCUCUCUGGGCGGCGGCCCCGGCGGCUGGGCUGAGCUGGACGAUCGUUAGGAGGAGGCCGAGGAGGGCGGGCGGGCUCUACUAGCCCGUCUCUGUCCCACGUGAGUGACUUUCCUGGGGGACCGUCCCAUGUACCCAAGGCCACAACUCCCUUCGGGGCUGCCUGGGGACAUGGACGGGCAGAGAAACGGGAGGAGGUCCAGAGACAGAAGCGGGUCACGGGAGCCGAGAGAUGCAGAGCCCCGAGGACUCUACCUCCCAUCCAGGGAGAGGAGAGGGGCAGGUAUCACUGGCUGAAGCCCGCAAGCCAGCCGCAGACUCAGCAUCCCGUCCAGACGGAGCCAAUGUCUGUCUCAAGCCCGGCCUGAAGCUCGGUUCUGUUAAGGACGCAGGCCCGUCUGGGUUCGGGGGGGAGGCGGUGACUGGUUCUGUCUGGCAUGGGCGUGAAAGGGAGUUUCAGCUCCAGGAUCAUCAGUCAUGACCUUUCUCCUCUCGUGGAAGCCUCACCCUGGUGCCUCCUCCGAGAAACCUGGGCAGCAGGCGGGGCACGAGGGAUCAAGUUGCUUCGAAGGGGAGGAAACCGAAGGCCCGCAGGGCCCGGGAAGCUGUCCCAGUGAUGCCUAAGGUCUGAGAGGCGCCGGCCGGGGUGAGAAACUUCGCGUCCCUGAGCCUCCUUCCUGUCUGUCAACUGGCAUCACGGUGGCAUCGUCUGAGGAUGAAAACAAGACUAUAAGGCAGAUGAAAGCUGGAGCCACUGCAGAGACGGGGCAGGGACAUGACUUGAGUCGCGGGAAACUGGCCUGGCGGGAAGCUGACACGGUGGAAACCCGCCGCACCUUAAAAACUAGGGCCCCGACCCCAGCCAGAGCCCGCUGUUCCUCGCUGACCAACACGCCCUGAACGGAAGGCAGCACACAGGCCCUUCUGCUCCGUGCCAGCCCGGCAGCGCAAAACCACAGACGAUGCCACCUGCUGUAUCGUCUCACGAAAGACCAGCAGAGGGAAGGAAGACGCUGUCUCGCUACGAUGUACGCGCGACCACGGAGGCAGGGCCCGCUGCCCGGAGCUUUCGUCCUGCUGCUUCUCCACUCCUAAAACCUGACCUCACAGCUCCCAGACCACAGCCCGCUGGUUCGCAGCUCCCUGCCUUCGCCCCUGCACCUGCCUAGAGCACCCCCGGCCCCUGCAGGGUGGCCCGGAGCCCCUCAGACCUGGGCCACCAGGGCCCCACACGGGCUCUGCAGCUUAGAGGACGAGGCUCAGGCUCUUCCAGAACUUUCCCUCCCACCUGGAACCAGAGCCGCCUCCAGGUCCCCAAAUGCUCUGCCUAAAAGGCCUGAGCCCCCCCCGCCCCUGACCCACCACCACGGGAUCACGGGAUGAGGGCACAGCGCGGGCACACGGAGCAUGGCCGUCUGCAGGGGCAGUGGUGGACCGGGCUGAGACAGGCCGUCGGGGCACCCUCGUGUGUAUCUGUGUGUGCGUGUGUGCGCGCGUGCACGCAAGCCGGGGGACCCCAUUUGCCCUCUUGGCCCACCCCUGAUAAACCAGUCACCCACUUUCUCCCAGGUUCUAGAACAUGAAAUCUGCUUUCGAAGAUGACCCCUUAAAGCUAUGAACCUCAAGCCACAGCCAGCCCUGCCCCUACAGCAAGUCCGUGCCCCAUCUCAUCACAUCCUCAGGGCCGCGCCAGUGCAACGCACGGGCCCCACGCUGUUCCGAGGAACCUGAGCGUGUCUGGCGCGCGCCUCUGGUUUUUAUUCUCAGCGCAACCCCCGGGAGAAAGGGAAGGUGCCACGCUGUCCACUUACAGAGCCUGAGCCAUGGAGCUGCUGGGUAACAGCCGAGGGCUCCCAGGCGUGAACCGCCUCGCGGGAGGAAGCCUGGAUUUCGCGUGGGGGCCUGCGCUGCCCCCUAACGGGAUGGACAACACGGGUGAGGACAGACAGAAGGUCUUACAUGUCUUGGGACCUCGAGGGGCCACCAAGCGACAGGAACAGUUCCUGGAAAAGGAUAAAAACCAGGUCUCUGUAUUUUUUUAACUUGACUCAUAAGGAACUGAACAGAAUUUGACAGCUGCAGAAGGCAGCUUGAGGACCCCAGCAUUUCUCCCCAACAGACCAGAGCCAGCAAGAAGGCGGGGGCUCCUGCAAGCCCGACGGAGGCUCAGGUGCAGGUGAGGGGGGGAGCCGAGCUGCCACACAGCUGAGGGGACUCUGGAGAUGGAAUGUGUCCCCUGCAGACAGCCUCACCCCCAAGCCCACAAUCAGGUGCUCUGACGAGAGGUUCUGCAGCUGCGGUUAAGGGUCCCGAGGUGGGGGCAUCUCGGGCAGGCCCCACACAAGUGCGACGGGAGACGGGCAGGGGAGCCGAGCGUCACCCAAGGACAUGUGACAACCGAGGCAGAGGUCAGGGCCAUGAAGGGGACCGCCCGCCAAGGAAUGCGGGCCGCCUCCAGAAGACGGACAAGGCAAGAAAACCGAUUCUGUCCUGGACCCUCCAGGAAGGACUCGGCCCAGCCGGCCGCAAGCCCAGUGGGACCCAUUUGGGACACGUGCCCUGCGGAACUGGUGAGAAUAAACUGGCGUUGCUCCA